rnacentral:lncRNA from 1 species
UUGCAACACUCCUGGCAUCUAAGUUUCCUUUCAUGAUUUCCGGCAAAGUCAAACUAUGUGUAGUUUUCUGUUGACAGUUCUAACGCUCACCAUGAAAUGAAGUAUCCUUUUGAUACUUGCAAGCCACGGUCCUAGUGCGUAUUGGGCAAUUUCCAGAAACUUGCUUCUAGCAGACAACGCUGUUGCUCCUCUCCUACAUUAACGUACACGUAUAUGUGUAGAAAAAGAAUCACUGUGUUGCCACAGUCGACCCCUUCCCUCAUCAGCUCCCUGAAUUAAUUGGGUAAGUUUUCAUUCUGAGGGCGCUUUGCUGCAAGUCUCAAAGUAUAAACUUAAUGUGAGACUUCAAUACAAUGUCAAAUAGAUUACAAUCUAGUCAUUUUCUGAGCUGUGCAAUUAAAAG